GUAGAUAAACAAUAAAGAUAUUGCCUCUGGCAUAACCAUUUUGUUUGAUAACUUGUGAAUCGUCCAUAACAAAAUAAAGUUCAGAUUUAACAGUAAAUUAUAUUUUUGAAUUAUACGAAAGGUUCCGGCGAUUGAAAAGCAGAAGAUGAAUACCAAGGUUACAGUUCUAGCAUUUACAUUGGUACUAUUGUUCCAAGGAUACGUAGCACUUGAUUCAUGUGCGACGCCUGGGUUCUACCUGUCCAGUGAUAAUAACUAUUGUUUCGCCUACUCUG